AGAACGAACGCUGGCGGCAUACCUAACACAUGCAAGUCGAACGAUCUCUUCGGAGAUAGUGGCGCACGGGUGCGUAACGCGUGGGAAUCUGCCCUUGGGUUCGGAAUAACAGUUGGAAACGACUGCUAAUACCGGAUGAUGACGCUAAGUCCAAAGAUUUAUCGCCCAGGGAUGAGCCCGCGUAGGAUUAGCUAGUUGGUGAGGUAAAGGCUCACCAAGGCGACGAUCCUUAGCUGGUCUGAGAGGAUGAUCAGCCACACUGGGACUGAGACACGGCCCAGACUCCUACGGGAGGCAGCAGUGGGGAAUAUUGGACAAUGGGCGAAAGCCUGAUCCAGCAAUGCCGCGUGAGUGAUGAAGGCCUUAGGGUUGUAAAGCUCUUUUACCCGGAUGAUAAUGACAGUACCGGAGAAUAAGCUCCGCUAACUCCGUGCCAGCAGCCGC
rnacentral:rRNA from 1 species